rnacentral:lncRNA from 1 species
CUUGCUUACCACGUCUUUGGAUGUGCUUAUUUACCUCACUCAGUGGUGAGUUCUGCCUACUGACAGAAUUACUGGAACAUCUAUAGAAAAGAGGCUUUCAAAUGGCAGUGCAGAAAUUCUCCUUGUGAAUAUAAACAUAUUUGCAUAAGCAUGAGAGAGAUUUCUGAAUGCCUAAAAGGCAAAGCCUUGUUGUGCAGGCUCAUUGUUUGGACACAAACUUUAUUUUUCUGCAGCAUUAUCUAGUUUUGUUCCACCACUGUAAACCCCUAUUUUCCUUGUUUUCCUUGUCCUGAGUGAGAACUAUAAAUGUCACAAUAUGCUGAGUUAAUGAGGGAGCACCAGCCUGGGCUCUCUGCAUGUCUUUGCUUUGUGGCUUCAAAUCACAAAAUCAAACCCUUAAAUUUAUCUGAACAUAGCCUCUUUUUUGCCUGCAUGGUUUAAUGUGGCUUAAUUAACGGAUGUCUGAAAGUGAAGAUACAAAUACCCAUGUAGAUUAAAUGAGCCAAUUUGGGAUCCUGUAGGAGCUGAGUCCCUCUGAAAAUACAUUACAUCUUUUCUUCCACAAAGGAAUACAGAAAACACUUAGAAGGCACGAAAGGAAAACAAAACAGAUAAGGAGAGGAAACAGCUUUUUCUUCAUUAGUGUUUUCUAUAUAAGGUCUCUGACAAGAGAACAUUUUGAUCUCAUCCUCUGAAUGCUUUGUCCUGGUAUCCCCAAAAAAUGAGACCACAUGGUCAAGAGCACCGAGGCCACAGUGUUCCUUAUUUUUAUUUAGAUUAACCAGUUUUAUUCAGAGUUGCGGAAGAUGCUGCUGUAGAGGCCUUAUUUCUUCUCCUUGUCAGCAGCGGUGAUCACAGGUGUCACCCACAACAACUGGUGCCCACUGAAUGAAAGCACAGAGCUGGAAAACCAUUCUGUGAUUUGGCAUGCAUCCUGCAUCCCCCAGACUCUGGGAAAGGGUGAUUCUCACAUUUCAAGAAGUCAUCACAUCCAGUGGAGGUCUGUGAUGAAGGAUAGAGCAGCUGACAGAAGGAAACAAAUAGCACAUGUGGCUCAUCUGAAGCUCUCUGGUGUGCUGGCUGUUGGUGGCCCAUUUAAGUCUGAUGGGAUUAGCUGGCUUCAGUUGUUUCGACAUCUGUGUAAGGUUAGACUUUUUCUUCACUUUAGUGUCGUACCUAUCUGGUCUGAAUAA